AUACGUAGGUGACAAGCGUUAUCCGGAUUUACUGGGCGUAAAGGGCGUGUAGGCGGUCUUGCAAGUCAGAAGUGAAAUUCCUGAGCUCAACUCGGGCGCUGCUUCUGACACUGCAGGACUUGAGUGCUGGAGGGGAUAGCGGAAUUCCUAGUGGAGCGGGAAAAUGCGCAGAUAGUAGGAAGAACACCGGUCGCGCAGGCGGCUAUCUGGACAGUAACUGACGCUGAGGCGCGAAAGCGUGGGGAGCGAACAGGAUUAGAUACCCUGGUAGUCCACGCGGUAAACGAUGAAUGCUAGGUGUUGCGGGUAUCGACCCCUGCAGUGCCGGAGUAAACACAAUAAGCAUUCCGCCUGGGGAGUACGGCCGCACGGUUGAAACUCAAAUGAAUUGGCGGGG
rnacentral:rRNA from 1 species